rnacentral:rRNA from 1 species
GACGAACGCUGGCGGCGUGCUUAACACAUGCAAGUCGAACGGAAAGGCCCUGCUUUUGUGGGGUGCUCGAGUGGCGAACGGGUGAGUAACACGUGAGUAACCUGCCCUUGACUUUGGGAUAACUUCAGGAAACUGGGGCUAAUACCGGAUAUGAGCUCCUGCUGCAUGGUGGGGGUUGGAAAGUUUCGGCGGUUGUGGCUGGACUCGCGGCUUCUCAGCUUGUUGGUGGGGUAGUUGCUUACCAAGGCUUUGACGGGUAGCCGGCCUGAGAGGGGGACCGGACAAAGUGGGACUGAGAUAAGGCACAGACUAAUACGGGAGGCAGAAGUGGGGAAGAUUGCACAAUGGGCGGGAGGAUGAGGCAGCAAAGCCGCGUGCGGGAUGACGGGCUGCGGGUUGGAAACCGAUUUCGCCUGUGACGAAGCGUGAGUGACGGUAAUGGGUAAAGAAGCACCGGCUAACUACGUG